rnacentral:misc_RNA from 1 species
AAGACUAUAGACCUGCGGAGUACCUGCGGAAGGAUCAUUAGAGAAUUCGCCCUUCGGGGCGCAACCCUCUCUGCCCCUCGGGGCAAAGAUUCCUACACCUGUGCACCUCUCGGGCACGUAGCCUUCCUCGGAGGGCCUCGAGCCUGCUUUUUCUACACGUACUCCUGUUAUGUUUGAACGUAAUACCCUUUAAUUGAAACAACUUUCAACAACGGAUCUCU